rnacentral:rRNA from 1 species
AUUGAACGCUGGCGGCAUGCUUUACACAUGCAAGUCGAACGGUAACAGGUCUUCGGAUGCUGACGAGUGGCGAACGGGUGAGUAAUACAUCGGAACGUGCCUAGUAGUGGGGGAUAACUACUCGAAAGAGUAGCUAAUACCGCAUGAGAUCUACGGAUGAAAGCAGGGGACCUUCGGGCCUUGUGCUACUAGAGCGGCUGAUGGCAGAUGAGGUAGUUGGUGGGGUAAAGGCUUACCAAGCCUGCGAUCUGUAGCUGGGCUGAGAGGACGACCAGCCACACUGGGACUGAGACACGGCCCAGACUCCUACGGGAGGCAGCAGUGGGGAAUUUUGGACAAUGGGCGAAAGCCUGAUCCAGCAAUGCCGCGUGCAGGAUGAAGGCCCUCGGGUUGUAAACUGCUUUUGUACGGAACGAAAAGACUGGGGCUAAUAUCCCCGGGUCAUGACGGUACCGCAAGAAUAAGCACCGGCUAACUACGUGCCAGCCGCCGCGGUAA